rnacentral:rRNA from 1 species
UACGGGGGGGGGCAAGCGUUGUUCGGAAUUACUGGGCGUAAAGGGCGCGUAGGCGGCCUGCUAAGUCGGACGUGAAAUCCCUCGGCUCAACCGGGGAACUGCGUCCGAUACUGGCGAGGCUUGAAUCCGGGAGAGGGAUGUGGAAUUCCAGGUGUAGCGGUGAAAUGCGUAGAUAUCUGGAGGAACACCAGUAGCGAAGGCGGCACUCUGGGCCGGUACUGACGCUGAGGAGCGAAAGCGUGGGGAGCGAACAGG